rnacentral:rRNA from 1 species
UGGGGAAUAUUGCACAAUGGGCGCAAGCCUGAUGCAGCCAUGCCGCGUGUAUGAAGAAGGCCUUCGGGUUGUAAAGUACUUUCAGUCGGGAGGAAGGUGGUAAGGUUAAUAACCUUAUCAAUUGACGUUACCGACAGAAGAAGCACCGGCUAACUCCGUGCCAGCAGCCGCGGUAAUACGGAGGGUGCAAGCGUUAAUCGGAAUUACUGGGCGUAAAGCGCACGCAGGCGGUCUGUCAAGUCGGAUGUGAAAUCCCCGGGCUCAACCUGGGAACUGCAUUCGAAACUGGCAGGCUAGAGUCUUGUAGAGGGGGGUAGAAUUCCAGGUGUAGCGAUGAAAUGCGUAGAGAUCUGGAGGAAUACCGGUGGCGAAGGCGGCCCCCUGGACGAAGACUGACGCUCAGGUGCGAAAGCGUGGGGAGCAAACAGG